UUCCUUCGGGAAACAAGUAGAGUGGCGCACGGGUGAGUAACACGUAGGUAAUCUACCUUCGGAUGGGGAAUAACAACCGGAAACGGUUGCUAAUACCGCAUAAUGCAGCGGCACCUAAUGGUGACAGUUGUUAAAGCGGGGGAUCGCAAGACCUCGCGUCUGAAGAGGAGCCUGCGGCGGAUUAGCUAGUUGGUAAGGUAACGGCUUACCAAGGCGACGAUCCGUAACCGGCCUGAGAGGGCGGUCGGUCACACUGACACUGACAUACGGGUCAGACUCCUACGGGAGGCAGCAGUCGGGAAUUUUGGGCAAUGGGCGAAAGCCUGACCCAGCAACGCCGCGUGAAGGAUGAAAUCCCUCGGGAUGUAAACUUCGCAAGAACGGGAAGAAUAAGUAGGGGACAAUACCCCCUAUGAUGACGGUACCGUUUGUAAGCUCCGGCUAACUCCGUGCCAGCAGCCGCGGUAAUACGGGGGGAGCAAGCGUUGUUCGGAUUUACUGGGCGUAAAGGGCGCGUAGGCGGCCAGAGCAAGUCAAUUGUGAAAUCUCCGAGCUUAACUCGGAAAGGUCAACUGAUACUGCUCGGCUAGAGUGCGGAAGGGGCAACUGGAAUUCUUGGUGUAGCGGUGAAAUGCGUAGAUAUCAAGAGGAACACCUGCGGCGAAGGCGGGUUGCUGGGCCGACACUGACGCUG
rnacentral:rRNA from 1 species